CUACGGGUCGCACCAGUGAGGAAUUUUCCGCAAUGGGCGCAAGCCUGACGGAGCGACGCCGUGUGUGGGAUGAAAUCCUUCGGGAUGUAAACCACUGUCAGAGGGGAAGAUAUUGACGGUACCCUCAGAGGAAGGCCCGGCUAACUACGUGCCAGCAGCCGCGGUAAUACGUAGGGGCCAAGCGUUGUCCGGAAUUAUUGGGCGUAAAGGGCGUGUAGGCUGUCUUGUAAGUCAGAUGUAAAAUCUACGGGCUCAACCCGUAGCCGCAUUUGAUACUACUUGACUAGAGAGUGCUAGAGGAAAGCGGAACUUUCGGUGUAGCGGUGAAAUGCGUAGAUAUCGGAAGGAACACCAGUGGCGAAGGCGGCUUUCUGGGGCACUUCUGACGCUGAGACGCGAAAGCUAGGGGAGCAAACGGGAUUAGAUACCCGCGUAGUC
rnacentral:rRNA from 1 species